CUCUCUCUUCCUCUCUGUAAAAUAUCAAUAAAAUAUAUAUAUUUUUAAAAAUCAUGUUCAUAAAAUACUUUGAAACCAAAAAUUAGGCAGUUGAAUGGAAGGUAACUAAUUUGUACAAAUAAUCAUGGCAUGUUCAUGUGUCCCUACAUUCUACUCAGAAAAACUUCCCCAGAAACACUCAGUCUAAAAGAGAACAAAGUGCUGAAUACAGGUGCUGUUGGUUUCUUGUUCUCAUAUUAAGAUGUUUUAUCUCACAGAUAUACUAAUCAUUCUAAGGACAUCCUAAUCAUCACAGUUCACUGAUGCUAUCUUCAAGGUCUCAGGAUUCCACCCUUUCCUUCCACAUCAGCCGCUGCCUGCUCUAACACAGAUCCCUGCACGGGCAGGCACAACAGGCUCUACCCCUGCCAGUGCUCAGCGUGUGGGACCAGCACACCGUCCUUGCUUCUCACCUCUAUGGGGAUGUACAGCAUGAAGCCCGGCUCUCCUGUGUGGGUCAUGCUCAUCACCCGGAUCCCGUUGGCAUAGCCCACACUCAUCUCCUGUGGAAGCAAAGGGACACAGUGUCAGAACUCCAAGGGAAGUGGAUGGGGUCUGAGGCAAACCCCUCUCCUUGGCUGUGCACCCUCUGACCCUAAAAGAGACAUGUGAAUGGAAGAAUUUCAUCCUCAGAAUGAUCUGUUUUCAGGUCUCCAGGUCAUUAGGAAUGGAACAAAGCCUUUACAAUAUCCUCUCUCUGAGUAUCAGGAGUGCUAGCCAAGCUGCUGAAGACCAGGAGUCUCCUCCAGGGCACUCGGCAGACAGUCCUAGGCACCUGCCCACAAAAAAAUGCUGGUGCCGAGAACACGGUUCACCUGCUAUCCUGGGGUCUGAUGUUCAAAACGUGUUCACAGCAGCUCCGUUACCUCUGUCUCAAUUCCUGUUCCUGUGAAGGAAAGUGCUUGUCCCACGUGGCACUAAAGCGAACUUUCCACAGGAAGUUCGGCAUCACAUGGUGCUCUGCAGGCACACACGAUGGAUCAAUCAUCAAGAAGCAAAGACAACCCUAGCUGGUUUUGCUCAAUGGGUAGAGCAUCAGCCUGUAGACUGAAGAUUCUGGGUUCAAUAAAAAUUUAAAAAAGCAAAGACACUGAAGGAGUUGGUAAUGGUUAACAGUGAGUUUUCUGUGGCUUUCACUCUGCCACAGAGAAAAAGGAAAACUAAAAUCAAUUAGUAGGUGGAUCUCAAUUUUGGUUUGAACAUCAAAAAGCCUCCUUUGAUAACUGUCCCCAACCUGCUUGUUGCAGGCUGACCAAAACAUUUCUCCAUUUGGACCUCAAAUCAACCACUUCGAGAGGACGCAGUAAUGUCUUUUUUGUUCAGUUAUAAUGUUUCACUCUGCUAUAGUUGCCAAGUAUAAGAAAGAAUCUUAUGUAAGUUGUUUAGGAAUUCACCUACACCACUUAUUAUAAUACCUGAAGAUGCCACAUACACAAAAGCUGCUCUGCCUCUAGGCAUGGGGGAGAGAGGAGCUGCUGGAGAGAAGGGACCUGACCCUCACUGGCGUUUUAUAAUCCUGUAACGUAGAAUCUGCUGUUAUAGAAAGCAAUGAAUGUAUAGAACUGAUAUUCAGAGAAGUUAAAUCCACCUCAAAUAUAUCCUAAUGCUUAUUAAAUAAGGAGACCUUGAAGGGUGAAAAGUAAGUGAAUUUAUUCUGUCAUUUUAUUAAUAAAUCAACACAUUUUGUGGGUAUUACUGCCAUAGUAAGAACAUGCAAUUGCAAUCUCUUCAAAGAUAUUCCCUGCCCAUUCAAAAACUAGAAACUUACUGGCACUCACCUUGCAAAAGAGGCUUGGGAAGUGAUCUGGAGUUAUCGGGGCAUAGGACAACUCGGACAGCACAUCCACAGCUCGAGGACCAAUCAGAUUGAGGGCUAAA